rnacentral:misc_RNA from 1 species
UCGUACUACCGAGGCCCGAGGGCUGUCGCUGACGCGUUUCAAGCGUCGUGCACGCCCGAGCGCUCUCGCAUACAAAAUCCACCUCACCACUUGUGCAUCACCGCGUGGGGCCUCUCUCUUGGCUUGCUUCGAGAGAGGUUCACGUCCUUCACAUCACACAAAUGUCUUUUUAGUUUUUUGAAUGUCAUUCGUUUGCGACGACGCGCAAUCAAUA